rnacentral:tRNA from 2 species
GCCGGUGUAGCUCAGUUGGUAGAGCAGCGCAUUCGUAAUGCGAAGGUCGGGAGUUCGACUCUCUCCACCGGCACCA